rnacentral:rRNA from 1 species
CUGGAAACGGCUGCUAAUACCGGCAUAACCUGUAACCGGACGGAUGUCUGGUGUAAGCAAAGAUGGCCUCUGAAUGAAAGCUAUCACUUAUGGAUGGGCCCGCGUCUGAUUAGCUAGUUGGUAGGGUAAAGGCCUACCAAGGCGACGAUCAGUAGCCGGCCUGAGAGGGUGGACGGCCACACUGGGACUGAGACACGGCCCAGACUCCUACGGGAGCAGCAGUGGGGAAUAUUGCGCAAUGGGGGAAACCCUGACGCAGCGACGCCGCGUGAGCGAAGAAGGCCUUAGGGUCGUAAAGCUCUGUUAUAAGGGACGAAGGUUACCAUGGUUAAUACCCGUGGUAAGUGACGGUACCUUAUGAGUAAGCCCCGGCUAACUACGUGCCAGCAGCAGC